GGACAAGGAGAGAGACAAUUUAUCAAGAAAUUAAAAUGUUUAGAAUUGUGAUAGCCCUGGGCCUAUUCUAGUUCACUGCAGUGCUGGGGUUGGUAGAACAGGAACGUAUAUCUGUGUGGAACAGUUAAUGAGAUGUCUGGAUAAUCCAAACACGAAUUGUAUAGAUGUGUUCCAUGCUGUAUACCAGCUAAGAAAGGACAGGAGGUAUAUGGUUCAAACUAGGUCACAAUAUGAAUACGUUUACAGGUGCAUGUCGACCUACCUCAAGCAAAGAGAACAAAUGGAGAAAAUAAGAAGAGAUUCUCUCGUCUAAAACUUUUAUAU